rnacentral:pre_miRNA from 1 species
AAAGUACUUCCUCUGUCCCAAAAUUCUUGUCUUAGAUUUGUCUACAUACGGAUGUAUCAAGUCACAUUUUAGUAUUAGAUACAUCUGUAUCUAGACAAAUCUAAGACAAGAAAUUUGGGACAGAGGGAGUAGUUG